AGAGUUUGAUCAUGGCUCAGGAUGAACGCUGGCGGCGUGCUUAACACAUGCAAGUCGAACGAAGCACCUUAUUCUGAUUUCUUCGGAAUGAAAAAUUUGGUGACUGAGUGGCGGACGGGUGAGUAACGCGUGGGUAACCUGCCUCAUACAGGGGGAUAACAGUUAGAAAUGACUGCUAAUACCGCAUAAGACCACAGCACCGCAUGGUGCAGGGGUAAAAACUCCGGUGGUAUGAGAUGGACCCGCGUCUGAUUAGGAAGUUGGUGGGGUAACGGCCUACCAAGCCGACGAUCAGUAGCCGACCUGAGAGGGUGACCGGCCACAUUGGGACUGAGACACGGCCCAAACUCCUACGGGAGGCAGCAGUGGGGAAUAUUGCACAAUGGGGGAAACCCUGAUGCAGCGACGCCGCGUGAGCGAUGAAGUAUUUCGGUAUGUAAAGCUCUAUCAGCAGGGAAGAAAAUGACGGUACCUGACUAAGAAGCACCGGCUAAAUACGUGCCAGCAGCCGCGGUAAUUCGUAUGGUGCAAGCGUUAUCCGGAUUUACUGGGUGUAAAGGGAGCGUAGACGGAGUGGCAAGUCUGAUGUGAAAACCCGGGGCUCAACCCCGGGACUGCAUUGGAAACUGUCAAUCUAGAGUACCGGAGAGGUAAGCGGAAUUCCUAGUGUAGCGGUGAAAUGCGUAGAUAUUAGGAGGAACACCAGUGGCGAAGGCGGCUUACUGGACGGUAACUGACGUUGAGGCUCGAAAGCGUGGGGAGCAAACAGGAUUAGAUACCCUGGUAGUCCACGCUGUAAACGAUGAAUACUAGGUGUGGGGGGACUGACCCCCUCCGUGCCGCAGUUAACACAAUAAGUAUUCCACCUGGGGAGUACGACCGCAAGGUUGAAACUCAAAGGAAUUGACGGGGGCCCGCACAAGCAGUGGAUUAUGUGGUUUAAUUCGACGCAACGCGAAGAACCUUACCAGGACUUGACAUCCAACUAACGAAGUAGAGAUACAUCAGGUGCCCUUCGGGGAAAGUUGGGACAGGUGGUGCAUGGUUGUCGUCAGCUCGUGUCGUGAGAUGUUGGGUUAAGUCCCGCAACGAGCGCAACCCCUAUUGUUAGUUGCUACGAAAGAGCACUCUAGCGAGACUGCCGUUGACAAAACGGAGGAAGGCGGGGACGACGUCAAAUCAUCAUGCCCCUUAUGUCCUGGGCUACACACGUAAUACAAUGGUGGCCAACAGAGGGAAGCGAAGCCGUGAGGCGGAGCAAAUCCCUAAAAGCCAUCUCAGUUCGGAUUGCAGGCUGCAACUCGCCUGCAUGAAGCUGGAAUUGCUAGUAAUCGCGGAUCAGCAUGCCGCGGUGAAUACGUUCCCGGGCCUUGUACACACCGCCCGUCACACCAUGAGAGUCGGGAACACCCGAAGUCCGUAGUCUAACCGCAAGGGGGGCGCGGCCGAAGGUGGGUCCGGUAAUUGGGGUGAAGUCGUAACAAGGUA
rnacentral:rRNA from 1 species